CUUAGGGAUGAGCUGGCACGAAUAGAUGAGAGCUGGGCUGUUGCACGCUUCGACUCUUUGCCACAUGUGGUCCAUAUCCUCACCUCAAAAGACCGUGAGACUGACGUUCUUUUACUAAAGGAACAAAGUGAUGUUGUCGAGGAGGUUGUGGAUGAAGUUGUGCAUGCUUAUCAUGGUGGUUUCAACAAGGCCAUUCAAAACUACUCACAUCAGGACAAGAGAACUUUAAGGCGACUAAUGAAGUUCCCUUUGUGGUUGAUGGUAAAGAAGCAGGGAAGUUAAAGAGUUAUGGACAACUUAGUUUCCUCAAGGUCAGGCUUUUCUUACAUAAAAUCAGUCUUUCCAUAGUUCUAUAGACUAUAGUAACAAGAAAGAGUUUGAUGACAACAGGUGCACGAUGCGGGACACAUGGUUCCAAUGGACCAGCCAGAAGCUGCGUUGAAAAUGUUGAAGAGAUGGAUGGAGAAUUCGCUUAGUGGAGGAGAUGAUGAUGAUGUGGCGACUACUAUUACAGAAGGAGAUGAUCUGGUUGCUCAGAUGUGAUCUCAUCUUCUUUCCAAUUGCAGGAAAACAUAAAUAGCAGCAAACAUUGUGGACUGUGUUGUGUACACGCUUGAAAGUUUACUUCUUUAAUUUGAUCUCAAAAGAUAAUUAUAUGUAGGGGUAGUAACAAGUUGAUAUGCCUUGAUGAACAAUAAUAUAAUCUUCAAAUUAAGAACUGGACAGAGUUGCCUUUGUCUAGUGAUCCAGACCAUCCUGAGUAUUCAUCAACCUCUCUCUGAUUCGAGCUCUUUCAAUAUUCAUCAGCCUCCUUCCUCUUCUCGUCUUCUUCCUCCGCCUCUCCCCAGCUUCAUUGUCCACCACCGAAGCCCAAUUCUCCUCCUCCUCCUUCCGCCAUCCCCGUUUCUUCGGCAGAGGUGGUCUCUCUCCGAAGGAGGUAAGGGUGGUGCUGCGAAGGAGGAGUAACGGUAGUAGAAAGUGUCGACCUCUCCAUCGUCGCUAUGGUGAAUCUUCUUCUUUCUUCUUCUUAUUCGUCUGCACCAUCUCCACUUCCUUACACAAUUGCUUUACUAGUUUGCUUUCGUAUUCGAAUUUGAAUUUAAGCGACGUCGUUUUAAAGGUUGUAACUGUAGUGGUGGUGGUGAACAUGUUAUUGUCGUCCAAUUAAAAAAAAAAAACGUUAAGUCUAAUUUUUUGUUUGAAGAACUAUUUUCCCACAAUAAAAUUUUGGAGAAUUAGAACUUGGAACGGGAGAAGAACGAGUUUAGAUUUGAUCCCUCCAUAGCUCGAGAUUUUGAUUAACUUCUUCGCCAUCGGAGACGCACUGAUCAGAUUCAAAGGAGGAUUCGCAUCCCAGGUUAGAUUCGCAGCUGAAAACUUUUUCUCUCUAGAUCCACUUCGUGUUUGAUUGCUAUUCUCGAUCUCUGUUUACGCCAAUGUUUACGUAUCCGUUAGAUCUUUCGUUGAACGAGUGAUGAUGACUGAAUGUUUUACAUUGUCCUCUCCUCACUUGAAUCAUGUAUCAUCCGUUCGCUCCAUUAGCUUCUUUUUGAAAUUGAGCUACGUAGCAUCGUCAUUCAUCGUGGAAAUUCUGUUAUCAACGUCCUCUCUAGCUCAUGUAUGUGUUGGUUUUCAACUUUUGAUUUCAGAUACAGAGUGUUUGAUUGGAAUGUGCUGAGGAAUAGUCCACCAGCAUGGGGAUCUUCGACGGUUUGCCUGUUCCCUCAGAUAAAACUGUAAGUCCACUUUCUUCACUCCUAGCUAUAACCUUAUGGUCGCCGUUAAUAGAAGGAGUGUGUUCUUUUAUCCCCUUAGGCAUUUAUAGGGACACAGAGUAUGUUUUGGAGUACAUGUGUGGCUGUGUGUGUGUGUCUAAGUGAUUAUGGUUAUUGCAGUACCUUAGGGAUGAGCUGGCACGAAUAGAUGAGAGCUGGGCUGUUGCACGCUUCGACUCUUUGCCACAUGUGGUCCAUAUCCUCACCUCAAAAGACCGUGAGACUGACGUUCUUUUACUAAAGGAACAAAGUGAUGUUGUCGAGGAGGUUGUGGAUGAAGUUGUGCAUGCUUAUCAUGGUGGUUUCAACAAGGCCAUUCAAAACUAC
rnacentral:lncRNA from 1 species